CUCUCCUGGAGAGGCCAGGGGACAAAAGGCCCAACUCUUGCCAGAACAGCCAGCUCCUUCCUUAGAGAGCAGCCUUGCUUCCAUCCCAAGCUCUUCCUAACACCUGAACAUCUCUGGGAACAGACUGUUCCUUUCAAGGCCAGCAAGAGCCCAGGAUGACCACACCACACACUUCUAGGUAUUAAAACUCAAGAGCGUUACUGCUUGUCCCUGCAGGGGUCAUCAAAGCAGCGUGGAAAUCCAGGUCUUUGGUGGCCUGGCUCCUUCACCAUCACCAUCUUCACCCCAAGAAGGAAGGAAUUUGAAAUCAAAUCCUGAAGGAAGGACAGGAAGUCCUUCAGGUCUGAGUUGUGCUGGCCCUACCAGCUUUGUGGUCUGGUCCCUGGAGCUCCCACAGAUCUUUGGAAAAUAUACACGAGGCAAGGCUGAGCGUUAUCAGGCUCCAGCCGCUCUCCUUGCAAGAGUGUCUUCAGCAGGAAUUCACCACCUUCCUUUCCAAAAUCCUUUCAGGAACAUCACAGCUCCUGGUGUUGCACAGAGUUGCUGGUAAUCCUGUUAACCUUUGGGUUAAUUAAGCAAGCAGAGACCCUUCAUUAGGAGGAAUGGCACUAAUUGCAUGUCUGAGAGGGUGAGUUUUGCACGGACUGCUGGCUGGGGGAGCAGAAGCCACUGCUGACUUCAGCAAGGGGGCUGGGAGUUAAUGGGGGCCUGCUUGGGAAAGGAGGUCAGGAAAACCUGUUUCCUCAGCACUGCUGGCCCAGCUGGUGUUUGCUGGAGCGGGGGAUGUGCACGGGAGGACGUGGGACAGUGGCACCAUCCUGCAGACUCCCAUGCAAGGCACAGAGGGUCGAGCUGCUGGCACCUGGCUGUCGAGCUGCCAUUAGUUUCCAAUCUAAAAAUGCAAAUCUGUAUUGGUAUGACCUGGUAAGCAGCUCUGCACAAGAGGCCUCAGUCUGCGGCUGAGCUUAGCACUCCAAGCCGGGAAGAGCAGCUUAAAAUCGACAGAGAGCUCUUUGUUUGCCCUGUGCAGUUUAGAAAUUAGGCAAUACUUAGAAGCAAUACUUAGAAGCAAAUAUUGGUUCAAACAACACCAGCUCCAACUCUCCAGUGGGCAGUUUGGCUCAUCCCAGGCAGAAAACAACAUUUUGCAACACAGUCAAAACCUGACACCGAAUAUUUCUCUUAACCAGCAGGGAAACAGGUUUGUGGCAUUUCCUGAAAAAUAAACUAAGCACAGUGACUCUGCAGUCGGAGCGUGGCCCCAAAAUUGACACAUGGGUCCAAACAUGGCCAGCAAGCCCGUUUCUGGAAAGCCAGCCACAGCUCUCCAGGUAUUGGUCAGGCCUUGGGAGCCAUGGGGAAUGCCAAGCUGGUCCCAGUCCAUCAUCAGCCAAGGCCAUGCUCUCAGAGCUGGCACUCCCACAGUGGCUUACAGCUGCUGCAAGCCCCAUGCUGACCUGGGCCCCAGGGCAGGAGGGACUUCCUCUUCCAGGAGAGGCUUGGCAUCAGGCAAGAGGCUGGGAUUUCCCCCAGGUUCUUACACAGGUGAGGUAAACCAGUUCUGCAGAAGCCCCCUGACUUCUCCCUGCCCCUCCUGGGUACCUGAACGCUGAAUCCCAGAAUGGUUUGGGUUUGAAAUGACUGUUAAAGACCAUCCUGCCAUGGGCAGGGACACCUUUCACUACACCAGUUUGCUCCAAGCCCUGUCCAGCUUGGUCUUGAAGACUUUGGGGAUGGAGCAGCCACAGCUUCUCUGAGCAACCUGUGCUAGUGCCUCACCUCCCUCACAGGGAAGGAUUCCUUCCCAAUAUCCCAUCUAACCCUGUCCUUUGGCAGUGGGAAGACAUUCCUGCUUGCCUUGUCACUUCAUGCCCUUAUCCAGAGUCCCUCUUCAGUUUUUUUGGAGUCCCUUAAGGCACUGGAAGGGGCUUUAAGGUCUCUCCAGAGCCCUCUCUAGUCCUGCUGCUCACACUGCUUUGGAUGUGGCCCUGCAGACACUUGGCUGCCAUUGCACAGUGCCACCUCAUGUCCCGUUCAUCACCCAUCAGCUCCCCAAAUCCUCCUCCACAGGGAUGCUCCUCAUCCAUUCACAACCCAGGGUCACCAUCUCCCAUCUCUUGAGACAGGCACCUUUGCCAUUUGAGUGCCAGGCUCAGCUUUUGUCCCACCGUGGCUGUUGACAGAAGAUGAUUUGGGAAAACGUGCUCCUACAUCAGUUCCUGCCUUCACCUGCCUCCCCAUGCAGGCCCAGGGCAGGACAAGAACUUGAGCCCAGCUUUUGUGGUUGACUGUGCUGGCAUCCUUGUCAUGGGGCACUCCAGCCUUCUCCAAGCCACAACCUGGAAAUUCCUAUUUCCUGAGGGAAACGAGUUAACUCUGGAGAAGCCGUGACUCCUGGUAAUUUUCUCCUUAGUCACUGAAGAUGAGCUGGGUUUUCAUCACAACUGCCAGCCUGGUGACCCCUGGGAACACCAACCUUAGCUCCAAAGGCUUCCACAGCUGCCUGGGAGCACCUCUAUGGAAAUACGAGUUGGGUGAGAUACCUGUGAUGGUGUGGUGCAGCUUUCCCUGUUUCCCUCUUUGUUUUGGUGUGUUUUCCACAGGCCCACACACAACCAGAGCUCAGCUACAGCCCCGUUCAGCUGUGGGAUGAGCUGUGCCAUGGGCAGCAGCCAGCUCUGUGGCAAAGCCAAGCCUUCUCCCACACAGCCAUGCCAGCUCUAACUUUAUCCCAAAGUCCUUUGGAUAAAGGACAAACAUCCUUUCCUUAGGACACAACCAAAACUCCAGAGCAGCCUCAUCUCAACCACAAACCACAGGGCACACACAUGACCUUGCAGUAAUGAGGGAGAUGUGAAAAUAAACAAUAUUACUUUACCUUCUCUUUCACUUGGCAUUGUUCUUUCCCCAGGGUUCAGCUGUGUUUAUACAUCACCAGUGAUCCGUGGUUGGGCAGAGGGUGUGUUCAUUUGUAUUUCUUCAUCAUUCAUGUAAUUUUUAGCAGCAGCAUCCUCUUUUGGAAAACACAACGGCCGGGAUGUGCGGUGUUGCAAUGCAACGAACUUGGGAUGUGUGACAAUAAUUCAGGUCAUUCCAUGAAGAUGGGCACUACAGAAGGGUGGCUGUUUCUGGGUGACUGGGACAAAGCCUGAGGGGCUCUGACUUAGCUCUGUCCUUUCUGGUAAAGCUGCUCCUGCUCACAUGAGCCAGAGCAUGGAGUUCUUGCCUUGAAGGGCAACAAGAGUUUCCAGUGUUACUAAAAAUUGGCCUUUGCUGUUCAGUCUCAGCUGAGUCAGCCAGACAUGGGCAUUGGGAAUGGGACCAACCAGGCACCCAGGCAGCCAGGAGUGAGUCAGACAGAACUGUAGAGGGAGGUGAGUGUACUUAGCGAGAGACAGGAUUCACCAUGUGACUAAAUGUGCAUUUUCUAACACAAAAUUUGGCAAAGCAGGUGUCUGAUGGAUGUUCAGGGGAAAGAAUUGAUUUUAUCAUGCAGUUCAUCCCUCCUGGACUCCAAAACUAAUGACAUUUUGCAGCUGAAGGCCACUCAGGACACUUUCCUUUUCCUUCCAAGGCUUCCCAUGGUGGGCUGUACUCCUCAGAAAGAAUGACCUCGUUGGGUCCUUUGGAGAGCAAGGCCUGAGCCCUCAGGCCAGGUGGCCUAGAGGACACAGCCCUGGCUGCUGUGCUUCUGCCCUGGGGUGCCUCCAAGGAAAGCUGUGUGUUGGAAGAGUUUCCUCUCCACAGGCUUGGCCACAGGAGUCAAAGCUGUCAAAGGAGCGUCCACAGGAAGGAUGCACACCAGGAGGAGAGUGGAAUCAUCAUGGAGAAAGGUAGGGUUUGCUAGCACCAAAAGGAAAAGCACCUCUGCAUGUGGCUGGUGAUGUUCCAGAUGCCUUGUGGCUGGAGAUCUGGAAAUGCAGGUGGUUGCUGCAGUACAAGAGGUAUUGCAAUCCAAGCCUCUUCCCUCACCUUUGGAUUUGCCCUGAUGCCAUCUGGGAGAGCAAGGGAAAGAGAUGUGAAGUGAACACCCACCCAUCCCAUCAGCACAUCACAGCCAUCCCCUUGGCAGGUAGAGAAAGCAUUGAGAUGCAAGCAUAAUGUGAGAAGGGAGAGAGGAGCAGUGAGUUGUCCAUAGAAAAAGAUCUGGGAACCAUAUGCAGAAGGCAAAGAUAGUUUGGGCUCUUCCAGCAACUGCUCUUCUGUUAUUUGAGUGGAUCCUUUAUGUUUUCCAAGCUCUCUUCCGCAUCUUUCCCCUUCAUCUGUCCCGUGGUAAAAGAGUCUUUAUCUGGGCAGUGCUGUAACUACUUGUGGAGUCAAUAUGCCCAAGUGUUUCCCCCAAUAUUUAGGUGCUCAGGUGUCUUUGUUGUUUCAGCUGCAACUACAGUUUCUCAAUUUGUCUGUUAGAAGAGGCAUUUUGGAACAAAUCAGUAAAAGGCUCUGGGAGAACCAUGUGGGACAGUCUCCUGCAAGCCCUUGUGCUUCUUCUUCCCAUGGAUGGGGAUGCUGCUAAGGCUGCAUGAGUGAGGCAGGGAUCAGUGAGACCUGCAGGAAGCUGGGGAUGGAUUUCAAAGACAUUUACCUGUCUUGGUGGAAAAAAGACCUUGUAAGGUUACAGCUUGCUGGAGUAAAUAUGGAUGAGAGAUCUUUUAAAAGGAGAGGCUUGAGGUGGGCUUCCUACAGCUGCAGUGUGUUUGGAGACACUCUGGAGACAAGAAAUUCUGCUCUUCUGGGAAAGCAGGGCAUGAGAAACAGGAACCAGCCACGCUGAAGGAAGUGCUGCAAAUGAUGCUGAAAUACCCAGUGUGGCCAGGAGUGCCUCUCACUCAGCCACAGUGGAGGUGGUCAUUGCCUGAGGACCUCCACCCUCCCUGGGUCACUGUGUAGAGCCAAAUCCUUUGCCUGGCACUGGGCUCCCCCCUGUACUGAAGCCACCACCACCUGCAGGUCACUUUGCCCUGAGCCUGCUGGGAGAAGGGACAAGAGCCAACCCAGGUGCUUCCAGUCAACCUCCAGCUGUGUAGAGAGUGAAGGCUG